CCAAUAGCGUAUAUUAAAGUUGUUGCAGUUAAAAAGCUCGUAGUUGAAUUUCGGGGUUAGUAGGUUGGUCAUGCCUCCGGUAUGUACUGAUCUCACUGAUUCCUCCUUCCUUAUGAACCGUAAUGCCAUUAAUUUGGUGUUGCGGGGAAUUUGGACUGUUACUUUGAAAAAAUUAGAGUGUUUAAAGCAAGCUAACGCUU
rnacentral:rRNA from 1 species